CAAGGCACACACAGCAUCAUAUUGACAUUACACAAAAUGCAAGUUUUCAUGAAAUAAUUUUUUUAGCUAUUUUCAUACCAUAACACUCUUUAAGUUUUUGGACACUCUAAAUUUGUGGACACCCAAGAUGCCAAAAUAAUUAUUUUGCGUGACUCUAAUAUUUGGACAAACGGGUGUUAGUCCAUAAUUAAUGACUAAACAUUUUUGGACAGUUUAUUAUGCCCCCCUUCGUACAAGAGGGGGUAUAUUGUUUUGCACAUGUCCGUCGGUCAGUCCGUCGGUCGGUCCGUCCACCAGAUGGUUUCCGGAUGAUAACUCAAGAAUGCUUAUGCCUAGGAUCAUGAAAUUUCAUAGGUACAUUGAUCAUAACUGGCAGAUGACCACUAUUGAUUUUCAGGUCACUAGGUCAAAGGUCAAGGUCACAGUGACUUGAAAUAGUAAAAUGGUUUCGGGAUGAUAACUCAAUAAUGCUUAGGCCUAGGAUCAUGAAACUUUAUAGGUACAUAGAUCAUGACUGGCAGAUGACCCCUAUUAAUUUUCAGGUCAAUAGGUCAAAGGUCAAGGUCACAGUGACUCGAAACAAUUAAACGGUUUCCUGAUGAUAACUCAAGAAUAAUUAGGCCUAGGAUCAUGAAACUUCAUAGGUAUAUUGAUCAUGACUGGCAGAUGACCCCUAUUGAAUUGCAGGUCACUAGGUCAAAGGUCAAGGUCACAGUGACAAAAAACGUAUUCACUACAACUGACAGCCCAUAUGGGGGGCAUGCAUGUUUUACAAACAGCCCUUGUUUUACAAUGCUUUUUUACCAGAUUUUCUGCUCUGUUGCCCUUAUCUGGUGACACUUUGAUCACACUGUUUUUACUACCGGAUUAAGGUCAUGAAACCUUACUGACCAUUUGAAUGCCUAAAGGUAAUGAAUUAUCACAUUUGCACUAUUGGGUAAAUGAAUAUGUAUACCGGUUACAUAAAUGGUUUCACCCAACAGCUUAAAGUGAAUCAUAUACACAUAUACAAGUAGUUUAUAUUAUAUGUUGAUGUUUUUUACAAGCACAUGCCAUUAUUUGUUGAAACAAUUGAGGCUAUACACAUUGCAUACCCUGAUCAUCAAUUCAACAUUUUUAGGGUGUUUCUAAAUUAUCGAACUCCUGUUUUUUUUCUCUCGAAAUUGUUCUGACUCAUUUAUAACAUUAUUCUCAAUUAUUUUACAAGUGUCCAAAAAGUAUGGUAUUCACAUUUCAAUUUUAAUCAAGUAUAGUUUUUUGGGGGGAGUUCAUUUUUGAUACUGAGACUUUUGAGAAAAGUGAAAUCCCAUAUGCUGCUUUUGUUGUACAGUUAUUGGUGAAGUGGGGAAAUGCAAAUUGUUCCAACUUAAAUAACACACAGUUCUAAAAUACAGACUGAUCUUAUUCGAUAAAAUGCACAUACAUUAUUGCCAUGCUUUGUUAUUGUUUUGUAUUUGGUGAUGGAUUUUGUAUUGACAAUCAAAUAAUGUUGUUUUGUUUAUCAAAAAAAGUAAAUUAGAUUUAUAAGUAUUCUUUAAACCCGUACUCUUUGGAUAAAGUGUUGUGGCAAAACACUUUAUCCAAUCUUAAUUAGCAAGAUACUUUUAGUAAUCAUUUUCAUUUCAAAAACAUGCCCCAAAUACUAUUUCGAAAGUUUGGAAUGUUUGUUCUUCAAGUACCAAAUGAAUGUUUUUCAUAUAAAUAAAAAAUCUGAGGAUUCUUGUUUUGAAAAAAAUAUAUCUUCAUUUAGAAAUUCCUCUCAAAAUCAUUAUUAUAAUGUUUUAAAUAUUUUACAUAAUUUUCUUCCUUGAAAAUAUUAUAAUAUGUUAGAUGUAUAAUCACUGGUCAAAUAUUGAAUAAUUAUUUAAAAAAAAACACUGUAAAAUGGAUAAAUUACUCAUAUCCUUGAAUGCUGUACUUUAUAUAAAAUUGUUUCUGAUAAUCAGGGGUGGCGAAAUCUCAAAAAACUAAACUUGUUCACGGACAACCAUUUAGGAAAUUUAACUUGUCCGUUGCUGAACUACACUUGUCCGUAAAUGUUUAUAUAAAUUAUAAACGCAUUUAUUGAUUAAUGUUAAAUAAUGUGGAAUAUAUCAAAAUGAGUAUGAUUUGCUUUGUUUUGUUUAUAGUUGUAUUUCAGUGGUACAUUCAUUAUAGCAGUAUAUUAUAAACAAUAUAAAGACUUUCUCAAACUUUAAAUCUUGCGAAGCUAGUGUUAUUAAAACAUGUGUUGAACAUAAGUACAUCGUAAUCGUUACAAAUUAAACUAGUCCAAUAUGUGAACCUCAUCAGACUGAGGCUCUGCACUGCUACUGGUAGCAAUUUGAUUAUCAUCAACUGGUAACAAUGGAAAAUCUGUUAGCCAAGUUUCUUGAAAAGUUCUGGUGCGUUUACUUAGAUCAUAUUUUUUAUCAUAAUCUUUCUUAGUUUUUUGGGGAGGUGGACUGCUCAAAGCUUCGGGUUUCUGCUCCAUUGUUGAAGAUUUAAAAAAAAAAAAAAUGUUCCAUCUUUACCAUUAAAGUCGUCUUAAAUAACAAGGUAGACUGUGUUUUGAUUAUCUUAGUUUGAUACUUUGUAUUUCCGUCUUAUUGUUAAAAUAAAGAAACCAGUCUGUACACUGUCUAACAGUCGGGCUGAAUGUUGAAAAUGCUGCAUGCUCCCGGUCUCUUAUAGAAUAAGGGAGAUCACUGCGCAGGAGAGUGCACGUAUUUUAGCUUGAUUGCUCCGCAAAUAGCACUGUCAAUGAAAUCGUGUGUCAACAUCCGGUUGUAAAACAUAAUUACGGCUUUAAUACAAUGUAUUUUUAUGCCCCCCUUGGAAGAAGAGGGGGUAUAUUGCUUUGCUCAUGUCGGUUGGUCGGUCGGUCGGUCCGUCCACCAGGUGGUUGUCAGACGAUAACUCACGAACGCUUGGGCCUAGGAUCAUGAAACUUCAUAGGUACAUUGAUCAUGACUUGCAGAUGACCCCUAUUGAUUUUGAGGUCACUAGGUCAAAGGUCAAGGUCACGGUGACCCGAAAUAGUAAAAUGGUUUCCGGAUGAUAACUCAAGAACGCAUACGCCUAGGAUCAUGAAACUUCAUGGGUAGAUUGAUCAUGACUCGCAGAUGACCCCUAUUGAUUUUGAGGUCACUAGGUCAAAGGUCAAGGUCACGGUGACCCGAAAUAGUAAAAUGAUUUUCGGAUGAUAGCUCAAGAACGCUUUUGCCUAGGAUCAUGACACUUCAUAGGUACAUUGAUCAUGACUUGCAGAUGACCCCUAUUGAUUUUCAGGUCACUAGGUCAAAGGUCAAGGUCACAGUGGCAAAAGUCGUAUAUACACACAAUGGCUGCCAGUACAACAGACAGCCCAUAUUGGGGGCAUGCAUGUUUUACAAACAGCCCUUGUUUUUGUAUACCUGGACCCGACUUUUAAAAAACUUGUUGUUCACGGACAACUUAAUUGAAAAAAUCAGUUGCCCAGACAAGCAAAUGUACUACAUGGGCAACUCGAACAUUUGAUUUUGCCACCCCUGAUAAUAACUUAUGAAAAUACAACUGCUACACUGCAACUUCAUUAUAUUGCAGUUUGUGGGAUCCACGAUCACGAUAUCAAUAUAUAUGGAUGGCGAUAUUACUUGUCAGGUCAUUCAUGCAUACAUAUCUCAAAAUAUGUUAUUUACCUACCUUAUUGCAUAAUUUGUUAUAUCCAUAUGUUAUACAUUGGUAUAACAAAUAGUAUUAUUUAAUUUAAGUAUUUUCAAAUGCUUAUUAGUAAAUUUGUAAUGCAGAGCAUUGCCAGGUUUUAUUGUUCAUGUAACGUUAACAAACUAUAGCCACAAAUAAACAUUUCUCGUUUACUUUGUGUAAAUCUUUUGUACUGGUCAACUUUAAGCAUUCAAAAAUACACUUCAUGUUAAAGUGAACCAAUAUAUACUGUAAAAUCAUUAAAUUUCGUAUGGUACGAAUUUUCGUGGAUUUCGUUGGUCCACUGAACCACGAAUUCAAGUACAAACGAUUAUUUAUACAUUUUUAAUCCGAAAUCGGUCAUUUCCGAAUGUCAUUUCCGACCUUUUCUUGUGUUGUCAGUUAUCCGAGAUAUUGGUUUUUGUAAUAGUUACUUCACUUCAGUAGGUCACAUUACACUAUAUCUAUCAGUUUUUCUUUUUAUGUCCCCCACUAUAGUAGUGGGGGACAUAUUGUUUUUGCCCUGUCUGUUGGUUGGUCUGUUGGUUGGUCUGUUGGUUGGUCUGUUUGUUGGUCUGUUUGCGCCAACUUUAACAUUUUGCAAUAACUUUUGCUAUAUUGAAUAUAGAAACUUGAUAUUUGGCAUGCAUGUGUAUCUCAUGGAGCUGCACAUUUUGAGUGGUGAAAGGUCAAGGUCAUCCUUCAAGGUCAGAGGUCAAAUAUAUGUGGCCAAAAUCGCUCAUUUUAUGAAUACUUUUGCAAUAUUGAAGAUAGCAACUUGAUAUUUGGCAUGCAUGUGUAUCUCAUGGAGCUGCACAUUUUGAGUGGCGUAAGGUCAAUGUCAAGGUCAUCCUUCAAGUUCAUAGGUCAAAUAUAUGUGGCCCAAAUCGCUUAUUUUAUGAAUACUUUUGCAAUAUUGAAGAUAGGAACUUGAUAUUUGGCAUGCAUGUGUAUUUCAUGGAGCUGCACAUUUUGAGUGGUGAAAGGUCAAGGUCAUCCUUCACAAGGUCAAUGUCAUCCUUCAAGGUCAAACGUCAUAUAGGGGGACAUUGUGUUUCACAAACGCAUCUUGUUUUUAUUUAUCAUCGUUAAUGUACGUUUUCAUGGUAAAUAAAUAUAAUAAAAUAGCAUUACCAAUUGUGGAGAAAAACACAUUUCUUUUACGUGACGUCGUAAAAUUAACAGUUUGCAGAUUUAUCAUAUAUGUCAAUAUGCGCAAAUUAAAUUUCAAAGAGACACACAUGUAUUUUGGCGACCUGAUUACUCAAGUGUUUCUACUAGGGGACCGAUUGCGCUGAGAAGUGCAAAUAUUGUCGAAACAACAUCGAUGGCAAUUAGCGAGCAGGGACCCACAAGUGCGCGGCUUUAUCGCUCUUAUCGACAAUUAUCGGCAACACUUUCAUGCUUCAGUGCACAUUAACCUCAAGGUUUGCUGUCAACACAGAUUUGCAGAUUAUGCUUCGUUAUUACUCUGGUUGUUUUGAUAAAACUUUUAUUAUUAUGACGGUCAGUCUUCCCCGAAAAUUUGAAAUCCACGAAAUUACGUGUCAACGAAUUAGUUGUUUUUCAUUAAGCCACGAAAUUUCAUACCGACGAAUUUCUGUACGUUUACAGUAUAUUAUCAUUGUAAAAUUGCAUAGUUUUUUCAACGUUUUGUUUUUUGUGCUUCAUAAAAUGAAUUAAAAUGUAUGGUAUUUGAAUGUUAUGAACUGUACAUUUAACAUUGCAUUGCUGGUCUUGAAUGUAACGUCAAUAUGUUAUAAAACAACACUUGACCUUGAGAGAGUCUUAAGUGUUGUCAGCAAAACAAAUUUACUAUGUAAACAAGAUGCACACAUUGCUCAAAAUUCAUUUUUACCUAGAAAUCCAAUUGUUUUGUAUUUACAUUUCAAUUUUAUACAAAUUUAGUUUUUAUGCCCCCGAAGGAGGGCAAAUAGUGAUCGGACUGUCCGUCCGUCUUUCCGUCACACUCUGCGUUUAGUUUUCGAAAAAUGCUCAUAACUUCUAUGUCCCUUGACAUAUAACCUUCAUAUUUGGUAUGCAUGUGAAUAUGAACAAGGUCUUUCCAUACGCACACAAAUUUUGACCCCUGUGACCUUGACCUUGAACUUAGGGUCCGCGUUUAGGUUUCAAAAAAUGCUCACAACUUCUAUCAAAGCAUACAUUUUUGAUUGUGAAAAUGUUUAGAAAAAUGAAAUCCUAUAAAGUCUUUUUGUAGUAGAGGUAUUUGUGUACUAAGGAAUGCACGUUGAUCUUAUAAACAUAUUUUCAUGACAUAAUAAUAUGUGUAAAAUAUUCACUGUUCAAUUUUUUUAUGCCCCCGGAUCUAAUGAUCGGGGUUAUAUUGUUUUUGGCCUGUCUGUCUGUCAUUGUAUGUGUGGGUCUGUUGGUCUGUUUAUCUGUCCCUAAACUUUAACUUUGGUCAUAACUUUUGCAAUAUUGAAGAUAGCAACUUGGUAUUUGGCAUGCAUGUGCAUCUCAUGGAGCUGCACAUUUUGAGUGGUGGAAAGUCAAGGUCAUCCUUCAAUGUCAAAGGUCAAAUAUAUGGCUUCAAAGCGGCGCAGUAGGGGGCAUUGUGUUUCACAAACACAGCUCUUGUUUUUGUUUUAAUAGUUGAAAUGUCACCCAUACAAAAUGCUCCGAAAAAGUGUUAGUGAAUGAAUUUUUGUCCAGUAUAUGGUACGUCCUGUAACAUUACAAAUAAACAUCCUUUAACAUGUUAACUUGAUCUCUACUCAAUUAUAUGUUUGAAAUUUGCUUUUUAUUCAGAACACUCAUGCACUUUGUAUCAAAUGUAUUUAUCUACUAUUUAGCUAUUAAAUAUCUUAAAA